UUAACCGUAUAGGGGAGCCGAAGGGAAACCGAGUCUUAACUGGGCGUUAAGUUGCAGGGUAUAGACCCGAAACCCGGUGAUCUAGCCAUGGGCAGGUUGAAGGUUGGGUAACACUAACUGGAGGACCGAACCGACUAAUGUUGAAAAAUUAGCGGAUGACUUGUGGCUGGGGGUGAAAGGCCAAUCAAACCGGGAGAUAGCUGGUUCUCCCCGAAAGCUAUUUAGGUAGCGCCUCGUGAACUCAUCUUCGGGGGUAGAGCACUGUUUCGGCUAGGGGGUCAUCCCGACUUACCAACCCGAUGCAAACUGCGAAUACCGAAGAAUGUUAUCACGGGAGACACACGGCGGGUGCUAACGUCCGUCGUGAAGAGGGAAACAACCCAGACCGCCAGCUAAGGUCCCAAAGUCAUAGUUAAGUGGGAAACGAUGUGGGAAGGCCCAGACAGCCAGGAUGUUGGCUUAGAAGCAGCCAUCAUUUAAAGAAAGCGUAAUAGCUCACUGGUCGAGUCGGCCUGCGCGGAAGAUGUAACGGGGCUAAACCAUGCACCGAAGCUGCGGCAGCGACGCUGAUGCGUUGUUGGGUAGGGGAGCGUUCUGUAAGCCUGUGAAGGUGGCCUGUGAGGGUUGCUGGAGGUAUCAGAAGUGCGAAUGCUGACAUAAGUAACGAUAAAGCGGGUGAAAAGCCCGCUCGCCGGAAGACCAAGGGUUCCUGUCCAACGUUAAUCGGGGCAGGGUGAGUCGACCCCUAAGGCGAGGCCGAAAGGCGUAGUCGAUGGGAAACGGGUUAAUAUUCCCGUACUUGGUGUUACUGCGAAGGGGGGACGGAGAAGGCUAUGUUGGCCGGGCGACGGUUGUCCCGGUUUAAGCGUGUAGGCUGGUUUUCCAGGCAAAUCCGGAAAAUCAAGGCUGAGGCGUGAUGACGAGGCACUACGGUGCUGAAGCAACAAAUGCCCUGCUUCCAGGAAAAGCCUCUAAGCAUCAGGUAACAUCAAAUCGUACCCCAAACCGACACAGGUGGUCAGGUAGAGAAUACCAAGGCGCUUGAGAGAACUCGGGUGAAGGAACUAGGCAAAAUGGUGCCGUAACUUCGGGAGAAGGCACGCUGACACGUAGGUGAAGUGAUUUACUCAUGGAGCUGAAGUCAGUCGAAGAUACCAGCUGGCUGCAACUGUUUAUU
rnacentral:rRNA from 1 species